UUUCUAUGAUUCUAUUGCUGGCUUACAGAAGACUUUGUAUUAGUCAGUAAUUAAUUAUAGGAAU
rnacentral:pre_miRNA from 1 species